GGUGUAGAUGAGACUGGUGUGGAGCCCAAUGAAAUCGACCUGGUUAUGACUCAAAAUGGCUGUCAAGAUCAAAUGUUGUGAAGGCUUUUUAAAGGCUGCAAAUGGUCAACGGAGAUAUGAAGGUCAUUUUAUUCUCAUAUGUGUCAAGGGAAACAUGGGUAUUUAGAAGUUAACCGUGAAGGCAUCUAUUUACAACAUGACGAAGAUUAGUGAUCGGGAGUCAUUUGUGUUCCUUAGUUACUAAUUUUUAGUUCGAUCAUAUCUCUUGCUUAUCUUUUAUAACCACCCUACUCAUGAUAUCGUAUGACAUUGUAGACUGGAAGACCAAUUGUGCAUGGGUUGGGCCGCAAAAGGGAGAGUAUGGAGUUAGAAGAAAUGUUAAAGGAUGAACUUAAGCUCAAAAUAGCUCUUUCUGGCUGCCCCACUCUCAAUGAUUAUGGAUGUCACUUUGUUUAUGAUUUAUUAAGCGACUUCAAGGAUAUCGAAUUUUAGGUGUCUGUUAAAUCAAAGAGGACUUGCAUCUAUAACGUUGGAUGUGGUAGGGCGUGCUACACCAACUGGACUGAGCUCAUGUUACUUUUAGUAAAUUGUAAAUGUAACAUUAUUUGUCAUUUUCUUGAUGUUUUUGUACACGGCUUAUAAAGAAAACUUCAUACCUAAU
rnacentral:lncRNA from 1 species